ACGGUCUCGAUUUAUCGAGAUAGUGGCGAACGGGUGAGUAACGCGUAAGUAACCUGCCCCUAAGUAGGGGAUAACUCUGAGAAAUUAGAGCUAAUACUGUAUGUGGUGGUGGGGGUAAUGCUUCAUUACUAAAGCCUUAGGGCGCUUAGGGAGGGGCUUGCGUCCGAUUAGCUAGUUGGUAGGGUAAUGGUUUACCAAGGCGAUGAUCGGUAGCUGGUUUGAGAGGACAUCCAGCCACACUGGGAUUGAGAUACGGCCCAGACUCCUACGGGAGGCAGCAGCAAGGAAUUUUGUGCAAUGGGCGAAAGCCUGACACAGCGACGCCGCGUGGGGGAUGAAGGCCUUCGGGUUGUAAACCCCUUUUCUCAGGGAAGAAUAAUGACGGUACCUGGGGAAUAAGUCUUGGCUAACUACGUGCCAGCAGCCGCGGUAAUACGUAGGAGGCGAGCGUUAUCCGGAUUUACUGGGCGUAAAGAGGGCGUAGGCAGUUUUUCAAGUCGAUUGUAAAAUCUCCCGGCUUAACUGGGAGGGGCCAGUCGAUACUGUUAGACUAGAGAGCAGCAGGGGGAGGUGGAAUUCCCGGUGUAGUGGUGAAAUGUGUAGAUAUCGGGAGGUACACCAGUGGCGAAGGCGGCCUCCUAGGCUGUUUCUGACGCUGAGGUCCGAAAGCGUGGGGAGCAAACAGGAUCAGAUACCCUGGUAGUCCACGCUGUAAACAAUGGACACUAGGUAU
rnacentral:rRNA from 1 species